GGUGGUGAGAGAGAUGAGGAGUAAAGGACAAAGGAAAUUAAGAUGCCACUAAUGAGGAUCUUUCAAGGUGCCUGAGGAGCCUGGCUUCCCAAUACCUGCUGGAGUGUUCGAGAAGGUGUGGAUCUCUGGCUACAUGUUAGCAAGUCUUAGCAUCAUUUUCCCCGAAGAUUGCUCAUGCUGGGGGAAGCCAGCCAUCAUGUCAUGAUGACAGUGAUGCAGCUUGUGGAGAGGAACCUGAGGACUCCUCCCAACAACUGG